GGCAACUUGGCCGAGCGGUCUAAGGCGACGCACUCAAGGAAAACCACGUGUUUCCUUCUCUUUAGCAGAAAGAGUUAGCAUUGCGUUCUCGAGAGGGGCGUGAGUUCGAAUCUCACAGUUGUCA